GCAGCCUGCAACUCGGCUGCAUGAAGCUGGAAUCGCUAGUAAUCGCGGAUCAGAAUGCCGCGGUGAAUACGUUCCCGGGUCUUGUACACACCGCCCGUCACACCAUGGGAGUUGGGAAUGCCCGAAGUCAGUGGCCCAACCGUAAGGGGGAGCUGCCGAAGGCAGAUCCGAUGACUGGGGUGAAGUCGUAACAAGGUACC
rnacentral:rRNA from 1 species